rnacentral:hammerhead_ribozyme from 1 species
CGCUGCUGAGGAGUCCAAUAAUAAGACGAAACAGCCGUCCAGUGG